rnacentral:lncRNA from 1 species
UCUACGAAAAAAAGAAAAACUCUCGGGUUACGACAAGUGACACAUAUGUAGUGCGCCAUUUAUCGUAACAUGUGGAGGUCGGAAUAAUUGUUGAAAAGUAUACUCCCUAAUUAAUGAUUUUGACGAAGCGGGCAUCGGUCAGCACCAAACAACAACAAAAAUAACUCCAACGCAUCAGCCCAUAAAAAGAGCCCACCUCAACUUCGCACGGCCCAGCCUCCAUAAAAUCGCAACAACACGAUACGAUACGAGCGAGACGCAACAACCCACGAAGCUUUGCUCGCAGUUGGCAUCGUGUCAGUCUCGACUCGCGACUCGCCGUCUCCCUCCUCCGCCAAUCUUUCUCCCCUCGCCGCCGUACGCCGCCCGGCGCCGCUCAUGGCCGCGUACCACCUCAGCGC